CCUACGGGAGGCAGCAGUGAGGAAUAUUGGUCAAUGGCCGUAAGGCUGAACCAGCCAAGUCGCGUGAAGGAAGAAGGAUCUAUGGUUUGUAAACUUCUUUUAUAGGGGAAUAAAGGUAUCCACGUGUGGAUUUUUGCAUGUACCCUAUGAAUAAGCAUCGGCUAACUCCGUGCCAGCAGACGCGGUAAUACGGAGGAUGCGAGCGUUAUACUGAUUUAUUGGGUUUAACGGGUGCGUAGGGUGUUUUUUAAGUCAGCGGUGAAAGUUUGUGGCUCCACCAUAAAAUUGCCGUUGAAACUGGAAGACUUGAGUGUGUUUGAGGUAGGCGGAAUGCGUGGUGUAGCGGUGAAAUGCAUAGAUAUCACGCAGAACUCCGAUUGCGAAGGCAGCUUACUAAGCCAUAACUGACACUGAAGCACGAAAGCGUGGGGAUCAAACAGGAUUAGAUACCCGGGUAGUC
rnacentral:rRNA from 1 species